GACGAACGCUGGCGGCGUGCUUAACACAUGCAAGUCGAGCGGUAAGGCCCUUUCGGGGGUACGACGAGCGGCGAACGGGUGAGUAACACGUGGGUGACCUGCCCUCAGCUCUGGGAUAAGCCUGGGAAACUGGGUCUAAUACUGGAUAUGACUCCACGGUGCAUGUCGUGGGGUGGAAAGCCUUGUGCGGCUGAGGAUGGGCCCGCGGCCUAUCAGCUUGUUGGUGGGGGAUGGCCUACCAAGGCGACGACGGGUAGCCGGCCUGAGAGGGCGACCGGCCACACUGGGACUGAGACACGGCCCAGACUCCUACGGGAGGCAGCAGUGGGGAAUCUUGCGCAAUGGGCGAAAGCCUGACGCAGCGACGCCGCGUGCAGGAAGAAGGCCCUAUGGGUCGUAAACUGCUUUUGAACAAGAGAAAACCCUUCUACGUGUAGAAGGCUGAUAGUAUUGUUAGAAUAAGCAUCGGCUAACUUCGUGCCAGCAGCCGCCGUAAG
rnacentral:rRNA from 1 species